GUGUUCGUAGAAAGGAGAGAUGGUUAGCAUUUCCAUUGACAGGGAUGGGAAGAACCUUUGGGUUUUUCCUUGUUAGCAAGCACAUCGGUUAAGCCAACCCACUUCGAUCUAUAACCCCCCAAUACCCUUGUGCUUAU